rnacentral:rRNA from 1 species
UACGUAGGGUGCGAGCGUUGUCCGGAAUUAUUGGGCGUAAAGGGCUCGUAGGCGGUUUGUCGCGUCGGGAGUGAAAACCUCGGGCUUAACUCGGGGCUUGCUUUCGAUACGGGCAGACUGGAGGUAUGCAGGGGAGACUGGAAUUCCUGGUGUAGCGGUGAAAUGCGCAGAUAUCAGGAGGAACACCGGUGGCGAAGGCGGGUCUCUGGGCCGAUACUGACGCUGAGGAGCGAAAGCGUGGGGAGCGAACAGG